UCAUCCCUUCCUUUCCACGGCCCGGUCGUCGACUGUCUCGCGCUCCACUUUCCACGGCGAAUCCAUUCUUAAAUGAUCUACACUGCUGCAUAAACCCCUGCGGCCGGGUAGUCUCGAAGACUCCACCUAAAACGGCCAGGCCAGACUUGGUCGUGCCGGCGUGCGGCGUGCCCCCGAGCUAGCUGUGGACCUGGGAGCCACGACGGCGAUCAUGGGCUCUUCUUCCGGGGCGCCGCUGCUCGUCGCUCACCCGAGCCGGGGGAAGGAGGACCUGGGAGAUCAGCGCCGCCUCCGCUGGUGCUGCGGCGUUUCGUCGGAAGGGCGGUGGGCGGAGGCGACGGCGGAGGCCGGGCGGCUGGCGGCGCUGGCGGCGCCCAUGAUCGCCGUGGCGCUGCUGCAGCUCAUGAUGCAGGUCAUCUCCACCAUCAUGGUGGGCCACCUCGGCGAGGUGCCCCUCGCCGGCGCCGCUAUCGCCGGCUCGCUCACCAACGUCUCCGGAUUUAGCGUCCUCAUGGGACUGGCAUGCGGAUUGGAAACUAUUUGUGGACAGGCCUUCGGGGCAGAACAGUAUCAUAAGGUAGCUUUAUAUACCUACCGGUCUAUAGUCGUACUCCUUAUUGCGAGUGUACCCAUGGCCAUUUUAUGGGUUUUCCUCCCAGACGUACUUCCUCUCAUAGGUCAGGAUCCACAAAUAGCGAUUGAGGCCGGGAGGUAUGCCUUGUGGCUUAUCCCUGGUUUAUUCGCCUUCAGUGUGGCUCAAUGCCUUUCAAAGUUCCUCCAAUCUCAGAGCUUGAUUUUUCCCCUGGUUCUGAGCUCCUUGACUACACUCGCUGUCUUCAUUCCUUUGUGCUGGUUCAUGGUUUACAAAGUUGGGAUGGGUAAUGCUGGAGCUGCUUUUGCAGUCAGCAUCUGUGACUGGGUUGAAGUCACGGUUCUUGGUCUUUAUAUUAAGUUCUCACCUUCUUGUGAGAAAACUCGUGCUCCAUUCACGUGGGAAGCUUUUCAAGGGAUUGGCAGUUUCAUGCGGUUGGCUGUACCUUCGGCUCUUAUGGUUUGUCUUGAAUGGUGGUCAUAUGAGCUGCUUGUUCUGCUUUCUGGGAUGUUACCAAAUGCAGCACUUGAAACUUCUGUGCUCUCUAUAUGUAUCUCUACAGUAAUACUGGUGUACAAUCUCCCAUAUGGCAUCGGAACAGCUGCAAGCGUGCGUGUGUCAAAUGAACUAGGCGCGGGGAACCCAGAUAGUGCCCGCUUAGUAGUAGUUGUCGCCUUAUCCAUUAUAAUCUUCACGGCAGUUCUGGUGAGCGUAACUCUUCUAUCGUUGCGCCAUUUCAUCGGAAUUGCUUUCAGCAAUGAGGAGGAGGUUGUAAAUUAUGUCACCAGAAUGGUACCGUUGCUUUCGAUUUCAGUUAUUACUGACAACCUCCAAGGAGUCCUUUCAGGUAUUUCUAGAGGCUGUGGUUGGCAGCAUUUAGGCGCCUAUGUUAACUUGGGCGCGUUCUAUCUUGUUGGCAUUCCUGUGGCGCUCGUUGCCGGUUUUGCUUUGCAUCUAGGAGGAGCUGGGUUCUGGAUUGGUAUGAUAGCUGGUGGAGCCACACAGGUCACUCUCCUAACAAUCAUUACUGCAAUGACAAACUGGCGGAAGAUGGCUGACAAAGCUAGAGAUAGAGUAUAUGAGGGAAGUCUGCCUAUACAAGCAAAUUGAUUAUUACGAACUUGAAGUCAUAUCCGAUUAUCUCCAAAUUUCGCUGCAUCCUAGUUGUUUGUUGAAAGAGCUAUCCAUGCCACGGACACCCUACCCCCCACCCAAAAAAAAGUUGGCAAUGAAAGUCGUAAAAGAUGGGCUAUUUUUAUACCUACUUUGAACUAGGUGAUGAUGAGAACCGUCUUAUCUUAUAGGACCUGUUUGGUUCAGUCCCAGUAGACCUGUCUGGCCUAGGCAGCGUCCCAGGCCAUUGAUUUUGGACGCUUGAGGGCUACAAUGGAAUGGCUGCAUGCAUAUCUGCCUGGUAGGCUGCAAUCCAGACGUGCCCAUAGUCUACGGUGCAAGCAAACAGCUAUACUAUACGAUCUAUUGAUUAUCACCUUAGGGAUUAAUGCACAAGUAGGAUGAAAUUUGAUAUGACAGUCAUGUUAAUGAGAAGAGAAUGAGUAUAACAACAUAUGAAUUGGGGCAAAGGUCCUUGUUAUAUGUCCUUAUAUUUUUUAUAUUUCUUUUA